CUCCUGUGCAGAUCAGGGGCUGCAACCCAAUUCUUGCCCCACAGCAGCAAGCAUUACCUCUCUACUCAGACCAAGGCCUUGUGAGGGAUGGAGGGUCACUAAGAUGCACUUCCUGUCCUGAAGACAUUGUCAGUCUCCUGGGGAAGACGGACUUCAAGAGAACAAAGACGAACACUGGAUCCCUACUGGAUUUGGAGGUCUACAGAGAGGGCUGCAUUUUGUCCAGAAUUUGGAAGCUUAUCAGACACAGGGGCCAGGAACAGAAGCCUCCCACAAGCCCAGAAGGACAUACUUAAUGCACAGCACUGAUUGCUACAGGGACCAAGAUGGGGACUUACAGAUUCCAAGUGGUCACACUGAAGGAACUCCGAUGUGUUUCUUCAUCUUUACCUUCACUGUGCAGUCGCUGCGUAGGUCAUAUCUG
rnacentral:lncRNA from 1 species